rnacentral:ribozyme from 1 species
UAAGGAAAAGUAGAAACUUCUUGAACAUCUUCGAUCGCAAUCUUUCGGUUUUAAUGGAAGUUAGUAUUUGAAGGUUUCCUUUAUUUUAAAAUGCAUGAAUUUUAUGAAAAAGGAAAGGAAGG